rnacentral:tRNA from 6 species
GCGCCCGUGGUCGAAUUGGAAAGACUCCUGGCUUCCACCCAGGUUAUGCAGGUUCGAGUCCUGUCGGGCGCUCGA